rnacentral:rRNA from 1 species
CGGGGGAUUUGUUGGGCGGCGAGCGGCGGACGGGUGAGUAAUGCUUGGGAAUAUGCCUUAUGGUGGGGGACAACAGUUGGAAACGACUGCUAAUACCGCAUGAUGUCUACGGACCAAAGUGGGGGACCUUCGGGCCUCACGCCAUAAGAUUAGCCCAAGUGGGAUUAGCUAGUUGGUGAGGUAAUGGCUCACCAAGGCGACGAUCCCUAGCUGGUUUGAGAGGAUGAUCAGCCACACUGGGACUGAGACACGGCCCAGACUCCUACGGGAGGCAGCAGUGGGGAAUAUUGCACAAUGGGCGCAAGCCUGAUGCAGCCAUGCCGCGUGUGUGAAGAAGGCCUUCGGGUUGUAAAGCACUUUCAGUAAGGAGGAAAGGUUAAGUGUUAAUAGCACUUAGCUGUGACGUUACUUACAGAAGAAGCACCGGCUAACUCCGUG